rnacentral:lncRNA from 1 species
UUUACAUCAAUGAGCUCAACGGUCAACAGUCUAAUAAUUGACUUUGGGACAUAAUUUCCAACAAACUCCCAUUUGAACUAAAGUUAAUUAGUUCAGUAUUGUAUACUCAUUUUCAAUUUAUGAUCUUUGAACUCUUUGACCCUGAGGGCUUUAGUGAAUGGGUCAGCAAAGUUCUCCUUUCCAUCGAUCUUUUAAAGCUUGACAUCACCUCGAUCCAUGAUAUCCCGGACU